rnacentral:rRNA from 1 species
GACGAACGCUGGCGGCGUGCCUAAUACAUGCAAGUAGGACGCUGAAGGAGGAGCUUGCUCUUCUGGAUGAGUUGCGAACGGGUGAGUAACGCGUAGGUAACCUGCCUGGUAGCGGGGGAUAACUAUUGGAAACGAUAGCUAAUACCGCAUAACAGUAGAUGUUGCAUGACAUUUACUUAAAAGGUGCAAUUGCAUCACUACCAGAUGGACCUGCGUUGUAUUAGCUAGUUGGUGGGGUAACGGCUCACCAAGGCGACGAUACAUAGCCGACCUGAGAGGGUGAUCGGCCACACUGGGACUGAGACACGGCCCAGACUCCUACGGGAGGCAGCAGUAGGGAAUCUUCGGCAAUGGACGGAAGUCUGACCGAGCAACGCCGCGUGAGUGAAGAAGGUUUUCGGAUCGUAAAGCUCUGUUGUAAGAGAAGAACGAGUGUGAGAGUGGAAAGUUCACACUGUGACGGUAUCUUACCAGAAAGAGACGGCUAACUACGUG